GUCAGGAUGGCCGAGUGGUCUAAGGCGCUGCGCUCAAGUCGCAGUCUUCGUGAGAGGGCGUGGGUUCAAAUCCCACUCCUGACA